rfam:Schistosoma rodhaini strain Burundi genome assembly, scaffold: SROB_scaffold0005277
GCACUGCUGAAGAGUCCCAUAAUCGGACGAAACAGCCGUCCAGUGC